AUUGAACGCUGGCGGCAGGCUUAACACAUGCAAGUCGAGCGGGGGAAGGUAGCUUGCUCUCGGGUGACGAGUGGCGGACGGGUGAGUAAUGUCUGGGAAACUGCCCGAUGGAGGGGGAUAACUACUGGAAACGGUAGCUAAUACCGCAUAACGUCGCAAGACCAAAGUGGGGGACCUUCGGGCCUCACACCAUCGGAUGUGCCCAGAUGGGAUUAGCUAGUAGGUGGGGUAAUGGCUCACCUAGGCGACGAUCCCUAGCUGGUCUGAGAGGAUGACCAGCCACACUGGAACUGAGACACGGUCCAGACUCCUACGGGAGGCAGCAGUGGGGAAUAUUGCACAAUGGGCGCAAGCCUGAUGCAGCCAUGCCGCGUGUAUGAAGAAGGCCUUCGGGUUGUAAAGUACUUUCAGCGGGGAGGAAGGCGGUGAAGUUAAUAGCUUCACCGAUUGACGUUACCCGCAGAAGAAGCACCGACUAACUCCGUGCCAGCAGCCGCAGUAA
rnacentral:rRNA from 1 species